rnacentral:rRNA from 1 species
AAGUGGCAGCAAUGCCAUGAGUAAAGUGGCGCACGGGUGAGUAACACGUGACUAACCUACCCUGGAGUGGGGGAUAACUGAGGGAAACCUUAGCUAAUACCGCAUAAUACCCACGGGUCAAAGGAGCAAUUCGCUCUGGGAGGGGGUCGCGGCCGAUUAGUUAGUUGGCGGGGUAACGGCCCACCAAGACGAUGAUCGGUAUCCGGCCUGAGAGGGCGCACGGACACACUGGAACUGAAACACGGUCCAGACUCCUACGGGAGGCAGCAGUGGGGAAUUUUGCGCAAUGGGGGAAACCCUGACGCAGCAACGCCGCGUGGAGGAUGAAGUCCUUCGGG